UACGAAGGGGGGCUAGCGUUGUUCGGAAUUACUGGGCGUAAAGGGCGCGUAGGCGGCGUGUCAAGUCAGGCGUGAAAGCCCCCGGGCUCAACCUGGGAACCGCGCUUGAGACUGGCAUGCUCGAGUUCGGGAGAGGAUGGUGGAAUUCCCAGUGUAGAGGUGAAAUUCGUAGAUAUUGGGAAGAACACCGAUGGCGAAGGCAGCCAUCUGGACCGACACUGACGCUGAGGCGCGAAAGCGUGGGGGAGCAAACAGG
rnacentral:rRNA from 1 species